GAAGAAAUAAAGGCAGAGCUUCCUAGGGCGGCUGCCAAAAUGGAGUAAGGUGUGGGCCCUCAUUUGCACCUCCUCUGAUGGAGAUAGCUGUGGGUUGUGGCCUCGUGGGGAUUUCCUGGAGGCCAGCUUCGUGGCACUUCACUAGUACAGGAGCUAGCUGCACUCUUUGGGCUACGAAGAAGCCCAAAACACAGCCCCAAGCAGGAACCAGCUUAGAAGUAUCCCUCAAGGGAAUAAACCUGGGGAUCUUCCUGGAAAGAGAGAGACAGGAGGUCCUGAGGAAGGGCACAAGGGACAAGGAAAGCAGCUCCCAGCUUCAGCAGUCUGCAAACCAGCCUGUCAAUUUGAAGGACACAUAGCCUGUGGGAUAGGGUGGGGCUUGUUAAGGCAUUAAGAAGGCCAGACCCCAAGUCGAGACCUGCCAAAGAUACCAGCAGGGACUAGAGGAGCAGACAGUUUGCGCAAGUUAGCUAUAAGUGGUGUAGCCUGUUCUGGCCUGGAGAAGACAAGGGGAUACAACAGCUGUAGCCACAAGCCUGACUAGUCCCCAAAACUUUGGAGAACUAGGCCUGGAGGUACAAACCUGUUCCUGGGUCUGAUUCCUGGAUGGAUCCACUGAGCUCCAAACAGUUGCCGGAGGAAGUCACAGUCUUACAGCAGAAAUUGUCCACAGGUACCUUACUACUGAUGCUGUAGCAAAGACAACUUUAUUCCCGAUUUUUGCAAUGCUGAUCUCCAACAGAACUCUCAUAAUUUUGAGAGAGAAUUGCUGUUUUUCCGCCAUGAACAAAUUG
rnacentral:lncRNA from 1 species